GCUCCAGACAAGCAGCAAAACCAGACAAGGGACACCAUGCCUGACAUCAGGACCAGCUGCAUCGGCUAAUGACCCCUACCCUGGUGCCAACCAAUGAGGGGAGACCACAAUCGUGAAAGAACAUGUUUGGAAAACUGCUGAAUAUUCUAUUGAGAUCGUCCUCUAGGACCUCCUGAUGAACACCCUCAAGACGGAGGACCCAGUGCAGCUCUCGGCAAUCAAUAAGGAUGGGAUAAAUAAAUGAACGAGUGAGUGAGUGAAGAGACUAAUGAACACCUUCCAUGCUGACUGAUGCACAGGAUGUGUUAUAUACUUCAUUUGACGUUGCCCAAAUAACAAGCAAGUGGUGGAACAUCCAAUAACUCGAAGAAGCAUCUCUGAACCUCGUAAGGUCCACCCUGGGCUUCAUGGGCACCCACUGAGCGCAG